CCCUUAGAUGUUCUGGGCUGCACGCGCGCUACACUGAUGCACUCAACGAGUUUACGACCUUGCCCGAUAGGGUUGGGUAAUCUUUUUAAAAUGCAUCGUGAUGGGGAUAGAUUAUUGCAAUUAUUAAUCUUCAACGAGGAAUUCCUAGUAAGCGCGAGUCAUCAGCUCGUGCUGAUUACGUCCCUGCCCUUUGUACACACCGCCCGUCGCACCUACCGAUUGAGUGCUCAGGUGAAUAAUUCGGACUGCAGCAAUGUUUGGAUCCCGAACGUUGCAGCGGAAAGUUUAGUGAACCUUAUCACUUAGAGGAAGGAGAAGUCGUAACA
rnacentral:rRNA from 1 species